rnacentral:misc_RNA from 1 species
GAUGAAGAACGUAGUGAAAUGCGAUAAGUAAUGUGAAUUGCAGAAUUCAGUGAAUCAUCGAAUCUUUGAACGCACAUUGCGCCCGCCAGUAUUCUGGCGGGCAUGCCUGUUCGAGCGUCAUUUCAACCCUCAAGCACAGCUUGGUGUUGGGACUCGCGUUAAUUCGCGUUCCUCAAAUUGAUUGGCGGUCACGUCGAGCUUCCAUAGCGUAGUAGUAAAACCCUCGUUACUGGUAAUCGUCGCGGCGACGCCGUUAAACCCCAACUUCUGAAUGUUGACCUCGGAUCAGGUAGGAAUACCCGCUGAACUUAAGCAUAUCAAUAAGCGGAGGA